rnacentral:lncRNA from 1 species
AGAGGGCAUCAGAUCCCAUUACAGGUUGCUGUGAGCCACCAUGUGGUUGCUAGGAUUUGAACUCAGGACCUCUGGAAGAACAGUCAGUGCUCUUAACCUCUGAGCCAUCUCUCCAGUCCCCGCUCUUAUCUUCUGAAUCAUUUCUCUAGCCUCAAGAUCCAUAAUGCCUUUUAAUGUUUGUUUCAUUUUAGUAUCUAGCCAGAGUCAAAUAAUUCAAAUAUAGCACUCAUGUACUAUGACACCUUUUUUUAGACUUCCAUAAGUUUCCACUUUUUGUUGAUUUGAUUUACUGAUCUAGACUGUUUUUGUGUUUUGUUUUUAUUACUUUGUGUUUUAUACCAGUAGAGUCAGAAUGGAUGAAGUGAGGUUGGUUUGUUUGUUUUUUAAUAAAAGAGAGUUUAAUUUGGCGCUUGCCAUUUUAGAGGGUUAGAGUCCAUGAGCAUCCCAGCAGACAAUAUGGAGGCAGGCAGGCAUGAGUAUUUAGAAAGCCUGUCCCCAGUUACAUACCUUGUCCAACAAGGCUGCACCCUCUAAUGCUUCCCAACUAGUACCACCAAAUAGGGACCAAGCAUUCAAAUACAUAACUUGUAAGGACCAUUCUCAUUCAAACUACCAUAUUCCACUUCCUGACCUCUAUAGGCUUGUAGCCAUAUCAUAAUGCAAAAUGCAUUCAGUCCAACUUGAAAAGUCUUCAUGGUCUUUCAGUCUCAACAUUGUUUGAAAGUCUCUUGUGAGACUCAAGACAAUAUAUCAGUUGUAACCUGUAAAAUCAAAGCAAAUAUGUACUUCUAAUGUACAUUGAUACAGAAUAUUUAUUAAUGUUUGAAAGGAAGGAAUAGGGGCAUACUGAGGAAAUACUGGACCAAAGCAAGACCAAAACCCAGCACAGCAAACUUUAAAUCCUAUAGUUCUAUGUCUGAUGUCAAAUGGUUUAGAUGGCUCCACCCUUCCAGUUUUGUUGACUACGACACACUUCUCUCUCCUGGGCUGACUUCAUUUCCUAUCUGUAGCUCUCUAAUGGCUCCGGCAUCUUGAACAUCUGGGGACCUGUCCAGUGCAAUCUUGACUUUCCUUUCAUAGCUUUACAAAAUGGCCUCUCUGGUCCUCCAGUAAGGGACUCCCCCUGCCUCACACCUGACCUAAGUGUCUCUCCUUAGCAGCAGAGGAAGAUUGAUGUCACAACCUUCACUACUGUAUUCUUUAUGACUCCAAAGCCAGGGCCACAUGAACAACACUGCCAAGUCCUGCUGUUUGCUUGGGAUUCGGCUUGACCCCCUUGAAUCAAAUUUGCAUAAGCUUUCAUUUGUUGCUGUUUGUUUAUAUUUUUUGGUUUGGGCUUGAGAUUUCCAACUAUAUAUUUUCUCUUACAAGUGGGUGAUUAUCAGGUUUUGACUUUUAUUGCUAGUAGUCUGUUUGCUGGCCUUGGAGUUCACCAGUUCUGAUCAGAGCAGGCGGUUGGUACUCUGUUCUGUGAUGACUCACAGUCUCUAAAUCAAGUGUUAACCUUUGUUCUCCACAGGGUCUGUAAAUGCUUUCCUAUUGGGAAGUCGUGCCUGUAACCAUUUCCCUGUUGUGUAGCUUUCUUCAUUGAGAGAACAAAGAGAGCCAGGUGCAAUAUAUCUGUAAUUCCUGUAUUUUCAGCUGUUUAGAGGCAAAGGAAUUAAGAUUAUUUGAGUUUAUAAGUUCAGUACUAGCCUUGACAACUUAGACUCAAACUUAAAAACAAAAUGUGGGUGGAAAAUGGUAGGAGUGAAAGUGGAGUGGUGGCUGGGCAGUGGGGGCGCACACCUUUAAUCACAGCACUUGGGAAGCAGAGAGAGGCAGGCGGAUCUCUGAGUUUAACAACAGCCUGGUCUACAGAAAGUUGUAGAGCAGCCAGGGAUACAUAGAGAAACCCCUAUCUC